GGGUGAGGAUUCUAGAGUCAGGCGGCCCUAAGUGUGAAUCUUGGCUCUGUCAGUGUGUGAGGCGGGGGCGUGUUGAGCCCUAAGUUUCUCCUUCAUGCUGUAAAAACAGUAAUGAUACCACAAGAGAGGGGUUGGGAGAAUUAAAUUGGAUAAUGCGGGUCGAAUACUUUGCUGUGGUCCCUGGCACACGGAACGUUCUCCAACAUCUGUCAGAAGUAACAAUGAAAACAAAACCAAGAAGCGAACUAACCCCCCUAAACUGGGUUCCUGGUUCUUUGGGCCAGUGGGGCCAGAGUUGUUACUGGUGAAGUAUCUUUCUCCUGCACAGCCUCUCGUGGGCCCUUAUUUUCCUGGGGGACAACGUACAUGCUUAUUUCCUCUGAGAGAGAAACACAGGAGCCCUGUUCACUCCCCAUCGGGCUUUGGGCAGAGAGAGACAGAUGUGGUAGGUUGGUGGCUAGAGAUGGGGACAGUGAGGGAGGGCCCUGAUGAGCAGUCCCCAGGAGCAAGAGGGGUCUGACAGGUCCAGCUGGCCCGGCAGGACCAACUGUGUGGGACAGCGGACCCCCACUCUGGAACCCAGCCUGUGUCCGCAGGAGGAACAGCAGGGGUGACCCAGGGUGGGAGUGAUCUCCACCAGCAGGGACCCUGCCCCCGAGAUGGACGCAGGUCAAAUGGCAUUUGAGGAACCGAAGAACGUUGGGAGGGAAUUAUAGAAGCCUCUGAUCAGGAGAGUGGAGGCCCAGAGAGAUGUGAAUCACUCACUCCAAGUCACAGACAUCAGCUCGAAGCCUAGACUGAAAACGAACCUCACCGAUUUCAAAGUCUGUCCUGUCCAUGUCACUGACCCAGCUAAACUUUACGGGACUACAUUUUCCCCUACACUUCUCUCCCUGACUUCAGCUCGCUGGUGAUGGGCUGUGUGUGAGUGUCUGGAAAUCGAUGUAUUUUAAGGAAUCGGGUCGAGUGAUGACGGAGGCUUGACAACUUUGAAAUCUGCAGGCAGGCCAGCAGGCUGGGAGAAGACCCAGGGAGAAGCUAAUGUUGCAGCUGGAGUUUGAAGGCAGUCUGGAGGCAGAGAUUCCUUUUCCUUGGGGGAACCUCAGCUUUUUUUUUUUUUUUUUUUUCUUUAAGACCUUCAACUGAUUGGGUGAGGCCCACCCACAUUAUAAAGGGUAAUCUGCUUUACUCAAUGUCUGGUGAUUUACAUGCUAAUCUCACCUAAAAAGUACCUUCCUAGUGAUAUCUAGACUGGUGUUUGACCAAAUAUCUGGGUACUGUGACCUCGCUGAGUUGACAUAUGGCAUUAGCCAUUACAUGGGGCUAAUGAGAUCUAUCUCCUAGGAUUGAAGGGGGGUAUCUGUGAGCUGAUGUAGAAAAAGAGUUUGGAACUUGCCGGGCACAGGUAAGUUCCGGCUACAUAUUACCCGUUGUUCUUCCCCAGACCUGGACGUGCCGUCUCUGGCUUUGGCUCGGACGGGUCAUUUCUGUCCGUGGACCGGCCCUCUGGCAGCCGGCAGGUUUGAGUUCUGUCCCAUCUGCUUCUUGCGGCUGCCGUAAAGUCUGGGUGCCUCCUGUGUGGCCCCCCCGCGUCUGGGAGGAGAUUUAUGUAUCCUGUUUCCCAGGAUAAAUUAGGAUCCUGGGCGCUGCCUCCCAUGGACGGCCUCGGUAGAGGCCCAGGAGGGGAAAUACCGCAGGGAAGGGCGGCUGAGGACAGCUGAAAUGGCAGGGCAAGAAUGCCACCCAGAGAAUCUUUGUUGUUUAUACCGGUGGCAGGAAGCAAACAUAAUGCUCUUUAAUUUUCCUUGGCAGGGUCUGAGGCGCCUCGCGGCUGCCAUCCUGUCUGCCUGGCCACCCUGCACCCCCACCUCCCCCAGCCUCAGGUGGACGGGCCCCCCAGCAAAUGCCUUUCCUGGAAACAUGAGGCCGCCACAGCCCUCCGCCGCCCGACCCCCUCUGCAUUCAAGCCUCUGCUCUGUCUCCACCGGCCAGCCGUGCCCCCCCCCCCCCCCCGACCUCACCCUGACACAGGGAGAGACCCUUGAUGGCCAGACGUGCAUUGCAAGCCCCAACCAACGCUCCGUUUGGAAACAGGAGAAUUUUCGUUUUGCUUUGGUUUGGGGAGGGCGAGAUGGGGAGGAAACAGAGGAAAGGGGCUGGGGGCAGCAGGUGGGAGGGGGCCGGCAGGACCCGUGAAAGAAUAAACUAAGCCUUCAUCUCAGAGUCUGAUCCGUUUCUGGACCCUGAUGGGAAAGGUCAUGAAUUUUAAAAUGUAUCUCUCUGGCCGACAGCUCCAGUCACAAAGCCAGCACUCUCUGAAGCUCUGGACGGCGGGCGGCGGGACACCUGAGACGGAGGGGCCCCCAUCAGCCGCCACUGGCCACAGGCAGGCCUGUGGCAGGCGGUGAUUAUGGCGGGGUGGGGGGGGGGGGUUUGAACA